GUCCUCGUAGCUCAGCUGGAUAGAGCGUUCGCCUCCUAAGCGGAAGGUCGCCGGUUCAAAUCCGGCCGAGGACGCCA
rnacentral:tRNA from 1 species